UCACUUGCGGCCCCAAGUCAGGCGAGACCACCCGCCGAGUUUAAGCAUAUCAAU
rnacentral:rRNA from 1 species